rnacentral:misc_RNA from 1 species
AACGCACAUUGCGCCCUUUGGUAUUCCGAAGGGCAUGCCUGUUCGAGCGUCAUUUCAACCCUCAAGCUCUGCUUGGUAUUGGGUCGUGCCAUCAGGGCAGGCCUUAAAAUCAGUGGUGGUGCCCGUUACAGGCUCCAAGCGUAGUACAUCUCUCGCUCUGGAAGCCUGGCGGUGCCUGCUAGACAACCCCCAUCUUCUAUGGUUGACCUCGGAUCAGGUAGGGAUACCCGCUGAACUUAA